GUGGGGAAUAUUGGACAAUGGGCGCAAGCCUGAUCCAGCCAUGCCGCGUGAGUGAUGAAGGCCUUAGGGUUGUAAAGCUCUUUCAGUGGGGACGAUAAUGACGGUACCCACAGAAGAAGCCCCGGCUAACUUCGUGCCAGCAGCCGCGGUAAUACGAAGGGGGCUAGCGUUGUUCGGAUUUACUGGGCGUAAAGCGCACGUAGGCGGAUCGUUAAGUCGGGGGUGAAAUCCUGGAGCUCAACUCCAGAACUGCCUUCGAUACUGGCGAUCUUGAGUCCGGAAGAGGUGAGUGGAACUCCUAGUGUAGAGGUGGAAUUCGUAGAUAUUAGGAAGAACACCAGUGGCGAAGGCGGCUCACUGGUCCGGUACUGACGCUGAGGUGCGAAAGCGUGGGGAGCAAACAGGAUUAGAAACCCCAGUAGUCC
rnacentral:rRNA from 1 species